rnacentral:rRNA from 1 species
GUUGAACGCUGGCGGAAUGCUUUACACAUGCAAGUCGAGCGGCAGCGCGGGGGCAACCCUGGCGGCGAGCGGCGAACGGGUGAGUAACAUAUCGGAACGUACCCAGUCGUGGGGGAUAACUAUCCGAAAGGAUAGCUAAUACCGCAUACGUCCUGAGGGAGAAAGCGGGGGAUCGCAAGACCUCGCGCGAUUGGAGCGGCCGAUAUCGGAUUAGCUAGUUGGUGGGGUAAAGGCUCACCAAGGCGACGAUCCGUAGCGGGUCUGAGAGGACGACCCGCCACACUGGAACUGAGACACGGUCCAGACUCCUACGGGAGGCAGCAGUGGGGAAUUUUGGACAAUGGGGGCAACCCUGAUCCAGCCAUUCCGCGUGAGUGAAGAAGGUCUUCGGGUUGUAAAGCUCUUUCAGCAGGAACGAAACGGUGGUCCCUAAUACGGACUACUAAUGACGGUACCUGAAGAAGAAGCACCGGCUAACUACGUGCCAGCAGCCGCGGUAAUGUAGACGU